UUACGGGAGGCAGCAGUGAGGAAUAUUGGACAAUGGGCGCAAGCCUGAUCCAGCCAUGCCGCGUGAAGGAUGAAGGCCCUAUGGGUCGUAAACUUCUUUUAUACGGGACAAAACCCCCCGAUGCGUCGGGGGUUGAUGGUACUGUAAGAAUAAGGGUCGGCUAACUUCGUGCCAGCAGCCGCGGUAAUACGAAGGACCCGAGCGUUAUCCGGAUUUAUUGGGUUUAAAGGGUGCGUAGGCGGAUUAGUAAGUCAGUGGUGAAAGCCCGUCGCUCAACGGCGGAACUGCCAUUGAUACUGCUAGUCUUGAGUAUGGUUGAGGUGGGCGGAAUGUGUCAUGUAGCGGUGAAAUGCUUAGAUAUGACCCAGAACACCAAUUGCGAAGGCAGCUCGCUAAGCCAUAACUGACGCUGAUGCACGAAAGCGUGGGGAGCAAACAGGAUUAGAUACCCCUGUAGUCCC
rnacentral:rRNA from 1 species